UACAUGGGGUGCAAACGUUGCUCGGAAUUAUUGGGCGUAAAGCGCACGUAGGCGGUUCGUUAAGUCGGAUGUGAAAGCCCUCGGCUCAACUGAGGAAGUGCACCCGAAACUGGCGAGCUUGAGUACGAAAGAGGAUCGCGGAAUUCCCGGUGUAGAGGUGAAAUUCGUAGAUAUCGGGAGGAACACCAGUGGCGAAGGCGGCGAUCUGGGCAGAUACUGACGCUGAGGUGCGAAAGCGUGGGGAGCAAACAGG
rnacentral:rRNA from 1 species